rnacentral:misc_RNA from 1 species
AAAAGUCGUAACAAGGUUUCCGUAGGUGAACCUGCGGAAGGAUCAUUAUUGAAUACGAAUUGGUUCUGAUGCUGGCCUCGAGGGGCAUGUGCUCGUUCCGAAUCUAUUUAUCUUCUCUUGUGCACCUCUUGUAGCCCUUGCAAUAAAAGUUAAAGUGAACCUCUCGCAGCGAUGCGGUUUGGGGGACUUUGAGCCGCAGCAAUGCCUCAUUCCCCUGCCUUGCUUUCUCUUCUGUUCAAGGUGUCUAUGUUUUCAUAUACACUAUUCAAGUUACAGAAUGUCUAUUAAAGAUUGCGCAAGCAGUCAUUAAACCUAUACAACUUUCAGCAACGGAUCUCUUGGCUC